rnacentral:rRNA from 1 species
AGCGUAGGCGGACUUUUAAGUGAGAUGUGAAAUACCCGGGCUCAACUUGGGUGCUGCAUUUCAAACUGGAAGUCUAGAGUGCAGGAGAGGAGAAUGGAAUUCCUAGUGUAGCGGUGAAAUGCGUAGAGAUUAGGAAGAACACCAGUGGCGAAGGCGAUUCUCUGGACUGUAACUGACGCUGAGGCUCGAAAGCAUGGGGAGCAACA